GACAGAGGGUGCAAACGUUGUUCGGAAUUACUGGGCGUAAAGCGUGCGCAGGCGGUUUUGUAAGCCAGAUGUGAAAGCCCCGGGCUUAACCUGGGAAUGGCAUUUGGGACUGCAAGGCUUGAGUGCGGCAGAGGAGACUGGAAUUCCUGGUGUAGCAGUGAAAUGCGUAGAUAUCAGGAGGAAUACCGAUGGCGAAGGCAGGUCU
rnacentral:rRNA from 1 species